UGGGGAAUAUUGCACAAUGGGCGCAAGCCUGAUGCAGCCAUGCCGCGUGUAUGAAGAAGGCCUUCGGGUUGUAAAGUACUUUCAGCGGGGAGGAAGGGAGUAAAGUUAAUACCUUUGCUCAUUGACGUUACCCGCAGAAGAAGCACCGGCUAACUCCGUGCCAGCAGCCGCGGUAAUACGGAGGGUGCAAGCGUUAAUCGGACUUACUGGGCGUAAAGCGCACGCAGGCGGUUUGUUAAGUCAGAUGUGAAAUCCCCGGGCUCAACCUGGGAACUGCAUCUGAUACUGGCAAGCUUGAGUCUCGUAGAGGGGGGUAGAAUUCCAGGUGUAGCGGUGAAAUGCGUAGAGAUCUGGAGGAAUACCGGUGGCGAAGGCGGCCCCCUGGACAAAGACUGACGCUCAGGUGCGAAAGCGUGGGGAGCAAACAGG
rnacentral:rRNA from 1 species